GGGCGAUGAUUAAAAAGAGAGAGGCUUGAGAGGGGAGUGUGAACAAAACUCUCAUGGGAUGGAGAACAAAAAAACCCAAAUCGAAAUCGAUGGAGAAAUGUUUAUUUUUUCCCUUUUUUGAUUUAAGGGUUCUUUUUGAUUCAUCCCUUACCCUCGAUGACGGUCCUUCCAAUCUUUACACUUGAUAUGAGCCCC
rfam:Capsella rubella cultivar Monte Gargano unplaced genomic scaffold scaffold_5, whole genome shotgun sequence.